GAUGAACGCUGGCGGCGUGCCUAAUACAUGCAAGUCGAGCGAACAGACGAGGAGCUUGCUCCUCUGACGUUAGCGGCGGACGGGUGAGUAACACGUGGAUAACCUACCUAUAAGACUGGGAUAACUUCGGGAAACCGGAGCUAAUACCGGAUAAUAUAUUGAACCGCAUGGUUCAAUAGUGAAAGACGGUUUUGCUGUCACUUAUAGCUGGCUCCGCGCUGCAUUAUCUAGUUGGUAAGGUACCGGCUUACCAAGGCAACGAUGCGUAGCCGACCUGAGAGGGUGAUCGGCCACACUGGAACUGAGACACGGUCCAGACUCCUACGGGAGGCAGCAGUAGGGAAUCUUCCGCAAGGGGCGAAAGCCUGACGGAGCAACGCCGCGUGAGUGAUGAAGGUCGUCGGAUCGUAAAACUCUGUUAUUAGGGAAGAACAAAUGUGUAAGUAACUAGGCACGUCGUGACGGUACCUAAUCAGAAAGCCGCGGCUAACUACG
rnacentral:rRNA from 1 species